AGAGUUUGAUCAUGGCUCAGGAUGAACGCUAGCGGCAGGUUUAAUACAUGCAAGUCGUGGGGCAGCGCGGGUAGCAAUACCUGGCGGCGACCGGCAAACGGGUGCGGAACACGUACGCAACCUUCCUUCAAGUGGGGAAUAGCCCAGGGAAACUUGGAUUAAUACCCCGUAAUACUAUGAGGUGGCAUCACCUUAUACUUAUAGCUCCGGCGCUUGAAGAUGGGCGUGCGCCUGAUUAGGUAGUUGGCGGGGUAACGGCCCACCAAGCCUACGAUCAGUAACUGGUGUGAGAGCACGACCAGUCACACGGGCACUGAGACACGGGCCCGACUCCUACGGGAGGCAGCAGUAAGGAAUAUUGGGCAAUGGACGCAAGUCUGACCCAGCCAUGCCGCGUGGAGGAUGAAGGUCCUCUGGAUUGUAAACUUCUUUUAUCUGGGAAGAAACCCAUGAUUUCUAUUGUGGUUGACGGUACCAGAUGAAUAAGCACCGGCUAACUCCGUGCCAGCAGCCGCGGUAAUACGGAGGGUGCAAGCGUUAUCCGGAUUCACUGGGUUUAAAGGGUGCGUAGGUGGGUAUGUAAGUCAGUGGUGAAAUCCCCGAGCUUAACUUGGGAACUGCCGUUGAUACUAUAUAUCUUGAAUAUCGCGUAGGUAAGCGGAAUAUGUCAUGUAGCGGUGAAAUGCUUAGAUAUGACAUAGAACACCAAUUGCGAAGGCAGCUUACUUCACGAUUAUUGACACUGAGGCACGAAAGCGUGGGGAGCAAACAGGAUUAGAUACCCUAGUAGUCC
rnacentral:rRNA from 1 species